AGAGUUUGAUCAUGGCUCAGGACGAACGCUGGCGGCGUGCUUAACACAUGCAAGUCGCGCGGUUCUCGAAGUUCGGGGUUGGGAGUUCGAACCUCGAACCUCGAACCUCGAACUUCGAACCUCGAACUUCGAGAAUAGCGGCGGACGGGUGAGUAACACGUGGAUAACCUACCCAUUAGACCAGGAUAACACCGGGAAACUGGUGCUAAUACCGGAUAAGCUCUUUAGAGUAAAAGCCUUAAAGAGGAAAGGGGAAACUCACUAAUGGAUGGGUCCGCGUCCUAUUAGCUAGUUGGUAGGGUAACGGCCUACCAAGGCGACGAUGGGUAGCCGGCCUGAGAGGGUGACCGGCCACACUGGGAUUGAGACACGGCCCAGACUCCUACGGGAGGCAGCAGUGGGGAAUAUUCCGCAAUGGGGGAAACCCUGACGGAGCAAUGCCGCGUGAGUGAAGAAGGCCUUUGGGUCGUAAAACUCUGUCUUGAGGGACGAAAAAAAUGACGGUACCUCAAAAGAAAGCCCCGGCUAACUACGUGCCAGCAGCCGCGGUAAAACGUAGGGGGCGAGCGUUGUCCGGAAUUACUGGGCGUAAAGGGCGUGUAGGCGGCCUGUGUAGUCAAGUGGUGAAAACCCGGGGCUUAACUUCGGGAUGGCCCUUGAAACCAACAGGCUUGAGGACAGGAGAGGGGAGUGGAAUUUCCGGUGUAGCGGUGAAAUGCGUAGAUACCGGAAGGAACACCAGUGGCGAAGCGGCUCCCUGGACUGGUCCUGACGCUGAGGCGCGAAAGCGUGGGGAGCAAACAGGAUUAGAUACCCUGGUAGUCCACGCCGUAAACGAUGGGUGCUAGGUG
rnacentral:rRNA from 1 species